GACAGAGGGUGCAAACGUUGUUCGGAAUUACUGGGCGUAAAGCGCACGUAGGCGGGUCUUUAAGUCAGGGGUGAAAUCCUGGAGCUCAACUCCAGAACUGCCUUUGAUACUGAAGAUCUCGAGUCCGGAAGAGGUGAGUGGAACUCCGAGUGUAGAGGUGAAAUUCGUAGAUAUUCGGAAGAACACCAGUGGCGAAGGCGGCUCACUGGUCCGGUACUGACGCUGAGGUGCGAAAGCGUGGGGAGCAAACAGG
rnacentral:rRNA from 1 species